GAAAGAAUGUUUCAGAGGGUGACAGACAAAAUGACUAAGAGGUCACACAGCUUCAAACGUAUGUUCAAGUUUCUGGCAUCAGAGAUUCAAAUAAGACUUUUCAAAUCUCUGUUUAUUAUCGUAGGCUUACAGAAAAGUUGAUGUGAGGGUGUACUAUAAUUGCAUCCGUUUUUACACAUAAUCACACUGUAACCACGCCAUCCAGGAACAGCAGUUUCUUUACUCCUCUAAACACCCUUUCUUUUUCUCACUGUACAGUAGAACACCCUUCCCCAACCUGACAGUGUUCUAUUUUAUACAUGAAUUGUACUUGUUUAUCCAAUCCUGGGAUAUUUAGGCUGUAUCAGUUACUGGCAAUUAUUAGUAGAGCCACCGCCAACACUCAUACAUUUACCAUUCGCACACUACAAUUUCAUUGUUCUAGGGGACAUAUCCGCUAGGAACAGGGAUGACUGAGACCAUCUAUAUUAUAUAUUAUAUAUUUAUUAACUCCAAAGUGACUGCCAACCUGGGAUUCCUGCCCAGAUCAGAGGAGGUCUCCACCUCUGCACUUCAGUGGCACUUGACGCUGCUGAUGCAUUUAAUACCCGCUGUAAUAGUUGGCAGCACCCGCUGUGGCUUUACUGUGCACCUCCGUAAGGUUUACUAUGUUAAACGUCUUUACGACGGCUCAUCUGCUUUCUACGCAUUUUGAAGCAGCUGCUCAAACCCCUUGCUCGUUCUUUGAAUUGUUGCUCCGCUACUGCUGAGUUCGAAAGCUCUUCCUAUGUCCUUGGUCCCAGUCCACCGUCACACGUGUGGCUUGCCGACACCUCUGCCUGUUAUUUGUCCCCUUUGUUAGUUUUUUUUUGCCUUGUUUUAUUUUGCAUGUGUGACCGUGGUUUUGGUGUGCUGUGCAUGUGUGCACCUGAAGCAGAGAGGGCUUCAGAUCCCUGGGUCUGGAGCUGUCAUGUGGGUACUAGGAAGGAGCCUGAGUCCUCUGCAACAACAAUGCUCCCAGCUGCUGAGCCAACUCUCCAGACUCCUUGCCUAACUUCAAGACGUAACCCUAUGGUCUUACACUUAAAUGGAUCAUGAUCUACUUUGAAUUAAUUUUUCUAGAGUUUGGGAGGUUUAAGUUGAAAGUCGUUGUGAGUUAUUUUUGCAUCUACACACUUGGAUAUCCAAACGUUGGGAAAUCAUCUGCAGUGUCUUCAGCUCAGCCUCCCGUCGUGCACACAGUUUAGCAGGUUCAACACCCGGCAGUGCCGGGACUGUUUGUUCUCAAGACCCUUUUCUACCCACUGUAUGUGUAUACAGCUGGUUCCGACCCCAUUGCGCCCGCUGUUCCGCGUGUCUGUGCCCUCUCUGAUUUAAUUUCACCUUCAUCGGACCGGAAGUGGUUUAGGGUUCAGAAUUUUCUUGAUCACAGAAUAUUUAAAGCACCCCAUAUGAAAAAAGAAAGAAGAGGGG
rnacentral:lncRNA from 1 species